rnacentral:rRNA from 1 species
CCUACGGGUGGCAGCAGUGGGGAAUAUUGCGCAAUGGGCGAAAGCCUGACGCAGCGACGCCGCGUGAGGGAUGAAGGUCUUCGGAUCGUAAACCUCUGUCAGCAGGGAAGAACGGUCACUGUGCUAAUCAGCAGUGAAUUGACGGUACCUGCAAAGGAAGCACCGGCUAACUCCGUGCCAGCAGCCGCGGUAAUACGGAGGGUGCGCGCGUUAAUCGGAAUUACUGGGCGUAAAGCGCUCGUAGGCGGUAUGUCAAGUCAAGGGUGAAAUCCCCGCGCUCAACGUGGGAACUGCCAUUGAAACUGGCAAACUGGAGUGUGGGAGAGGAUAGUGGAAUUCCAGGUGUAGGAGUGAAAUGCGUAGAUAUCUGGAGGAACAUCAGUGGCGAAGGCGACUAUCUGGCACAUAACUGACGCUGAGGAGCGAAAGCGUGGGUAGCAAACAGGAUUAGAUACCCCUGUAGUC